GGGAGGGUGACAACCGCCAGCCGGCCCACCUCCUCAGUCCCCAUUGGCUACAAGGCGCCACUGCCGAGCUAUGGCUGGGGCUUCCCAGCCGAGCAGGAGAAUGACGGCCGCUCCCUCCCGCGCCGGAAAGGAGGCAGCACCCUGCACGUCCCCCACCUGAAUUCAGCCACCCUCACCACCGCCACCAGCCCAGGAUAAGGAUCAUAUUUCUAGUCUCCUCUGCAGCUACCCGGCCACGGGACCAAUCUCCAACCAGGCAGAUAAAGGGAUGGAAGUUGGAGUCUAGCCUGGUGACUUCCGGUAACAGCUUUUGUGUCACUUUCCCUAGAAUGAUCCUCCUGCCUCCUUCUUGUCAGCUCCAUGGAUUGUAAAAUCAUCUUGGGCGUGACAGCCAGACAGAAUAAAGCACCAAAUUAAGACAGUGUCCCUGUGCCAUGCAGAGUCAGCAAGGCACUCUGCACCAGCCCCAGCCCCGUACUUCCUAUCUCCAGGUUCCCAAAAUAAAGAGAAAAAUG
rnacentral:lncRNA from 1 species